ensembl:lncRNA
ACCCCUUCCCAGACCUCAUUUAAAGGCUGGCAGUGAAAGUGAGAGUACCUUAGUGGAGAUUCCUGUGUUCCUGAGGUCUUCUGAAGAUCUGGUGAGGGAUUUAGUAGCACAGAGUACUUCGGUUACCUUCACCGCUGACUGACCGUGUUCACGAGUUUGCAGGAUGGACGUCAGGCUGAGCUUUCUCUCCCUCUUAGCACCAGACAGAAGAUAGAAGAGUGCACGGAAGCCUCACAGGCUGGGAAGGCCUGGAUAGAAGCAAACUGGGUUUGUAGAAGAAAUAAAGAAAAACAGCAGUGAAGCAAAGGAUGGCUUGGGAAGAACUGAGACGAGUCUGGAAGGCAUUAACAUGUCAGCCCACCAGAAGUGAGGAGGUUCAUUCAGCUCUCAGAUGCUAUUCCGAGGAAAAAAGGAAGCUGGCCAGUCACAGACAGUGAUGCGUUCUGUUCACACACUGCAUCCACUCAAUCAUAGCCUUUCCCUGACUCACCAGAUGACCUCAUGUAUCCCUCAAGAUGUGUUCCUAAAUACCUAGGAAGAUGGCAGGCAUGCAACCGAGAUAAACUCUAUGUGUCUGUUGGUGAUAUGUCUCCAGUGCAGUGCUCACAACAGUUCUGCAAGCAAGCUGAGCUGAGGCAUCCUCCUCAUCCCGAGACAAAUUUUCUGUCCUUCAUGUCCCUUUGUGCCUUCCAGGACAUAAUGGAAGACUCAGUAGGCUUUCUGGGCCCAGCCUACCCGGGUGCAAGAUCCACCCAGGAUGAUGGGAGGGGAGAAGCCACUCUUCGUGGCUGCACUGCCUCUCCCCAGGGUUAAGAGUAAACUCGCUGCUUCCCAUACCAGACAAAUUUUAUCCUGGUAGCACAAUGCUUCCAAAAGACAGUGAGGAAAGUUUGAGGGAGUUUUGCUUCUUUUGCAACCAGCAGCUAGCUUUCAAGCUCUCUCCAUGCAGCAAAGCUGUAGUCACUUCUCAGACCCAUUUCCCAUGUGAAUGCAAGCUGAGUAAUAACUGUGUAGCAGGGAGGGUUUUCUCAGCCAUUCAUCUGUUCCUGAGAAGUAUGACUACACCCUGUCAACAUGCAUCACAAGCACAUAAUUCAUCAGUUAUCCCAGAAAGAAGGAAUAAAUUACUUCUUGAGCCACAUCAUCACUAAUUGUAAAAAAUAUCCACCUCAGUGCAUUUAAUUCCAAAUUAAAUUGGUGAUUUGCUCAGUCAGUCUAUCCUGGCAAUGCCACCUUGCGUAUCCGUGAUGUGAUGUGUGGUAUCAGUCUCUCCAGGUUCUUUUCUUUCUUUUUUGUUCCUUUAAUGUAUAACUUGCUAGCAAUCAAUCUGAAAAUAUCAGCUAAUGUGAGGGAACAUGCUGUCAAUCCAACAAAGAAAUAAAACCUGCUUUAU